UACGUAGGUGGCGAGCGUUGUCCGGAUUUACUGGGCGUAAAGAGCGCACCGGCGGUCGUUCAAGUCGCGUGUGAAAGCCCCCGGCUCAACUGGGGAGGGUCACGCGAUACUGAUCGACUCGAAGGCAGGAGAGGGUAGUGGAAUUCCCGGUGUAGUGGUGAAAUGCGUAGAUAUCGGGAGGAACACCAGUGGCGAAGGCGACUACCUGGCCUGUGCUUGACGCUGAGGCGCGAAAGCUAGGGGAGCAAACGGG
rnacentral:rRNA from 1 species